GGGCGCUUAGCUCAGUUGGUAGAGCACCUGCUUUGCAAGCAGGGGGCCAACGGUUCGACCCCGUUAGCGUCCACCA
rnacentral:tRNA from 1 species